AGUGGCAGACGGGUGAGUAACGCGUGGGAAUGCGACUUUGGUACGGAAUAACUUCGGGAAACCGAAGCUAAUACGAAUAAGUCCUUCGGGAGAAAGAUUUAUCGCCAAAGGAUGGGCCCGCGUUGGAUUAGCUAGUUGGUAGGGUAAAGGCCUACCAAGGCUACGAUCCAUAGCUGGUCUGAAAGGAUGAUCAGCCACACUGGGACUGAGACACGGCCCAGACUCCUACGGGAGGCAGCAGUGGGGAAUAUUGGACAAUGGGGGCAACCCUGAUCCAGCCAUGCCGCGUGAGUGAAGAAGGCCUUAGGGUUGUAAAGCUCUUUUGGCGGGGACGAUAAUGACGGUGCCCGCAGAAUAAGCCCCGGCUAACUUCGUGCCAGCAGCCGCGGUAAUACGAAGGGGGCUAGCGUUGUUCGGAAUCACUGGGCGUAAAGCGCACGCAGGCGGAUUGAUAAGUCAGGGGUGAAAUCCCGGAGCUCAACUUCGGAAUUGCCUUUGA
rnacentral:rRNA from 1 species